rnacentral:lncRNA from 1 species
CAACAAAGGCAGGGCGAUAUUUCCAAGAAGGGCAGAGUUAAAACUCCUCUAAAAUUUUGCUGUAGAAGUCGGUUCUUUUCAUCCUUUCCCAGCAGCAGGGUGAGUUCUUCAAACACCCCAAAGCUGUUGGGUGAUGGACAGGUGAUGCCAGGAGACAGGGUGUGAUGAAGUAGCAUUCAGCUUGGUGGCCACAGCAACCUUGAUUUUAACAGGCAGAGUCAUCUUCCAGGGG